AGCCAGCAGCCGCGGUAAUACGUAGGGGGUAAGCGUUGUCCGGAUUUACUGGGUGUAAAGGGCGCGUAGGCGGGCCCGUAAGUCAGAGGUGAAAGCCUGCAGCUUAACUGCAGAACUGCCUUUGAUACUGCGGGUCUUGAAUUCAGAAGAGAGAGAUGGAAUUCCAGGUGUAGUGGUGAAAUACGUAGAUAUCUGGAAGAACACCAGUGGCGAAGGCGAUCUCUUGGUCUGAUAUUGACGCUGAGGCGCGAAAGCGUGGGUAGCAAACAGGAUUAGAUACCCUGGUAGUCCACGCUGUAAACGAUGAAUACUAGAUGUUGGGCAGAAAUGUUCAGUGUCGCAGCUAACGCAUUAAGUAUUCCACCUGGGGAGUACGAUCGCAAGGUUGAAACUUAAAGGAAUUGGCGGGGGA
rnacentral:rRNA from 1 species